rnacentral:lncRNA from 1 species
GAGCCAGCCUGGGCUGUUUGAGGACAGCAUGGAUCAGUGUGGGCCAUCACAGGGACAGCACGGGUAGCAUGGGCAUUGGGGGCAGUGUGCCAACCUUGAGGAGGGUGACCGUGGCGCUGUAGCACACGCUGAGCAGGAAGAGGGUGAUGAAGAUGGUGAUGGUUGUCCACAGCCCAUCCAGCUCCCCAUCCAGCUCCCCAUCCAGCUCCCCAUCCUGGGCCUCAGCACAGCUCUCAUCAAAGUCCAGCCCUGGACAGGAGGAGGUGGUCUGUGUGUGUCCCCCAGUCGGGUGCUGGGCCACUCCCUGCGCACCAGUCCUGGUGCAGGAUUGGAAGGACACUGACCACGCGAAAUGUGCCAUUGAAUUGCUCUUCCCGGGGCUGUUUCUCCGCUGUGUUCACCUGCACGUCAUCCAUGUACCAGGUGAACUCAACCUCAGGAUCUUCCUGGCUCACAUCUACUACAACACAGGGGACCUGGAUCUCCUUGGGAACUGUCCUUACCAACGACCUUGUCCACCUUGGUGCUGCUGGCCGGGUGGGCUACGUUGCAGGUGGCCUUCUUCUGGCUGGCGGGCAAAGUUACCAUGCUGGUGAGCGAGUACAGGCCCGACUGAAGGAUGGCUGGGAAAGUGUGCACUCCGCUGGUCAGGGAUCCUGAGUUCCAUGUCAUGGUCACGGGCUCGGGGAAAUAGCCCUUGACCAGGCAUGCCAGAGUCAACAUGGAGCCAGUGUCCACACAUCCAGAAGCCAGAGGGAAGACGGAAGGGGCCGUUGUGCUGGCUGCAAUGAAAAAGGUACCAGGUGACUUGGUGUCCGACAUAGCUGACCCUGCACCAUGGAGGAUUCUGUAUCUUUUGCUUUUUGAGGUCUGGGUGCUCUGCAAGAUCUAGGCAGAGUUCUGUGUCCAGGCUUUUGGCUACACCUUCCCACUAUCUAGACCCCAUGUACCUGGCCCCAACUGCCUGCCUUAUCCAACCUUCCCCAUGAGCUCCAGGC